GGGGGAUAAAUUAAUAAAUUAUAAAUUUAAUAAAAAAAUUUUUAAAUAAAAAUAUUUAAUGGGGGUUAAAGUAUUUUUAUAGAAAAAAUUAAAUAAUUUAUAAUAAAUUAGUAUUGUAAAAGAAUUUUGAAAUAAUUGAAAUAUAAAAUUUAUAAUAAAGUAAUUUUAAUUUAAUGUAUCUUGUGUAUCAGAGUUUAUUAAAAAAUAUUUAUAAAAAAAAAAUUCUCGAAUUUAAAAGAGAUAAUUAAUUAUUAAAGUUAUUGUGGCAUAAAUAUUUAAAUAAUUAAUUGGAAAUGAAAUGUUAAUCGUUUUUAAAAUAUAUCUAGUUUUUUUAGAAAAAAAUUUAAUUUUAUAUUAAUUUUAAAAAAUAAUUAAUUAAUUAAUUAUUUUUUAAAAUUAAUAUUAUAUUUUAAGGGAUAAGCUUUAAUUUAAAUUUAUAUAAAAUUUUUAAUUUGAUUUGAAAUUUUUAUAAUUUAUAUUGUUAAAAAAUUUUAAUUUAUUAUAAAUAAUUUCAUUUAAAAUAAAAUUUAAAUAAAUUUUUAUAUUUUUAUAAAAAAAAAUUUUUUAAUUUAAAAAUAAUUGUUAUAAUGAUAAAAUUAGUAUAUAAAUUGGAAAUUAAGAUUUAAUUUUUUAAUAAAAUUAAUUAAAAGGAAUUCGGCAAAAAUUUAUAUUCACUUGUUUAUCAAAAACAUGUCUUUUUGAAAAUAAUAUAAAGUCUAAUCUGCCCCCUGAUUUUUAAAAAAUUGAAGGGCUGCAGUAUUUUGACUGUACAAAGGUAGCAUAAUCAUUAGUCAUUUAAUUGAUGACUUGUAUGAAAGAUUGGAUGAAAUAUAAUCUGUCUCUUAAUUAAAAUAUAGAAUUUAAUUUUUUAAUUAAAAAGUUAAAAUAAAUUAAAAAGACGAGAAGACCCUAUAGAGUUUUAUAAGUAAGUUAAUUAAGAUUAUUUAUAAAAAAAAAUUAAAAUUAAUUUACUUAUUUUGUUGGGGUGACAAAAAAAUAAGUAAAACUUUUUUUAUAUAAAAUACCAUAUAUAAGUGAUUAAAUGAUCCAUUAAUAAUGAUUAAAAGAAAAAAUUACCUUAGGGAUAACAGCGUAAUUUUUUUUUUUAGUUCAUAUAAGAAAAAGAGUUUGCGACCUCGAUGUUGGAUUAAGAUAAAAUUUAAAUGCAGAAGUUUAAAAUUUUUGAUCUGUUCGAUCAUUAAAAUCUUACAUGAUCUGAGUUCAAACCGGUGUAAGCCAGGUUGGUUUCUAUCUUUUAAAAAUUAAAAUAUUUUAGUACGAAAGGAUUAAAUAUUUAAAUUAAAUUUAUUUUAAUGAAUUUUAAUAAAUUUAUAUUUAUAAAAAAAAAUUAUUAUAAUAUAUAUAUAUAUAUAU
rnacentral:rRNA from 1 species